rnacentral:rRNA from 1 species
AUUGAACGCUGGCGGCAUGCUUUACACAUGCAAGUCGAACGGCAGCACGGGGGCAACCCUGGUGGCGAGUGGCGAACGGGUGAGUAAUACAUCGGAACGUGUCUUAAAGUGGGGGAUAACGCAUCGAAAGAUGUGCUAAUACCGCAUAAUCUCUAAGGAGGAAAGCAGGGGAUCGAAAGACCUUGUGCUUUUAGAGCGGCCGAUGCCUGAUUAGCUAGUUGGUAAGGUAAAGGCUUACCAAGGCAACGAUCAGUAGCUGGUCUGAGAGGACGACCAGCCACACUGGGACUGAGACACGGCCCAGACUCCUACGGGAGGCAGCAGUGGGGAAUUUUGGACAAUGGGCGCAAGCCUGAUCCAGCCAUGCCGCGUGAGUGAAGAAGGCCUUCGGGUUGUAAAGCUCUUUCGGUCGGGAAGAAAUAGUUAUGGCUAAUAUCCAUAAUGAAUGACGGUACCGACAUAAGAAGCACCGGCUAACUACGUGC